rnacentral:rRNA from 1 species
AACGAACGCUGGCGGCAGGCUUAACACAUGCAAGUCGAGCGAGACCUUCGGGUCUAGCGGCGGACGGGUGAGUAACGCGUGGGAACGUGCCCUUCUUUACGGACUAGCCCCGGGACACUGGGAGUAAUACCGUAUACGCCCUUUGGGGGAAAGACUUAUCGGCGGAGGAUGGGCCCGCGGUGGUUUAGGUAGUUGGUGGGGUAAUGGCCCACCAAGCCGACGAUCCAUAGCGGGGUAGCGAGGCUGAGCCGCCACACUGGGACUGAGAGACGGCCCAGACUCCUACGGGGGGCAGCAGUGGGGGAUCUUAGAGAAUGGGGGGAACCCUGAACUAGCCAUGGCGCGGGAGUGAUGAAGGCCUUAGGGUUGUAAAGCUCCUUCAGCUGGGAAGAUAAUGACGGUACCAGCAGAAGAAGCCACGGCUAACUCCGUGCCAGCAGCCGCGGUAA